rnacentral:lncRNA from 1 species
AACUAUGUACCAUGUCUCAUGAAUUCGAUUAAAAACUCCAAAGCAUAUUAAUUAUCACCAUCAAUAUUUCUUCUCAGUAGUUGUUGUAGCCAUCAUCAUCAACGCUUGUACUUUCUAGGAUCCAAUUCGGUCCAAGCCCGCCGUUUGUCCUUUGUGAAUCAUGACAACCGACCGGUUGACAUUCUGACCACCACGAUACGAUUGAAUCAACCAUAAAACCGUGGGUUUUAUGACAUCUGCCAUAACAGCUCUUAGAUCAAGUUACAACUAUGUCGAGCGCUAAUGGUCAAGUGAUUCGAUGCAAAGCCCGUGGCUUGGGAAGCCGGAAAGCCGCUGGUGAUUGAAGAAGUGGAGGUGUCGCCACCGCAGAAAAUGGAUGUCCGAAUUAAGAUCCCCUUCACUUCCCUUUACCACACCAAUGUUUAGUUUUGGGAAAGUGGGAAGCCACAAUAAGUACUCCAAUUUCAAAUUCCAAAUUAGAUAAUUUUGUUAUUAAUCUCAAAUCUUCAAUUAGUGCCAAAAUUUCAGGGGCAAAUUCCUGUAUUUCCUUGGAUUUUAGGACAUGAGGCUGGAGGGGUUGUGGAGAGUGCUUGGGAAGGAGUGACAGAUCUACACCCAGGGGAAUGCAAGGAAUAUUCUCACUAUAAGUCUGUAGAGUGCAACACGAGCAACCUUCUUAGGAUCAACACCGAAAGGGGAGUCAUGCUUCAUGAUUACAAUUUUAAUUCAACGGCAAAACCAUUUUCUAUUUUGUUGGGACUUCUACUUUCAGCAAGUACACGGUUGUUCGUGUCGGAUGUCUUGCAAAUAUCAACCCUCUUGCCCCUCUUGAUAAAGUAUGUGUCCUCAGCUGUACGUGGGAUCUCCACAGCCUGUGGUGCUUUUGGAAAAGGAAGACUUCCAUUUACUUCUUCUACAAUUGAUUUUGCAUAUACAACUCUAGGGAACAUCAUUUUGUUAGUCAUGGAUGUGGCUCAUAAAUUGUUAGUUUCAACCGUCAGUGUAAGAGGUAAUUGGAUUUUGACCCAAGUAGUGACAAAUUAUGUUAUUUUCAGCUACAUUUCCAGUUACAAUCAAAAGAGUUCAAAUACAUACGUGAAACAACCUUCUGUUGAGCUCAAAGAAUGGUGAUGAGAGACAAGUCCAGGAGCCACCAACUUCACGAGCCAAGCACAACAUGAUCGUCGCCAGCUGCCACCAUUCUCCAAACCUGGAAAAGUUAGUUGGGAGUUUAUCACAUCAAGUGGAGAGAAAUUGACACUUAGAAGUGUGCAAUUCAUGUUGAUUAUGAAACAUAUUGUUGAAUGGACCUGUGUCAAUUGUAAGCAGUUGAUUUUGUUUAUAUUCAGAGGUUUUUUUUUUUCAUAUUACUAUGGCAAAGUAGCCGUCCACCGGAUGAACUAGUACUUUUAUUGGUUGUUUGUAAGAUUGAUGUUUAUUAGUUUAAUUAAGAAUCUUAAUUUGUUC